GCCGGGUCGGCCCUCUCUCUGAACUGCUGCCUGUGUCUGCCCCUCCCUGCACACUGACGACUUUUGCUUAGUGUGGUAGCGUGUCCCAGUGUGUGCUGUUCUGCCUAACCCUGUGGUCUUGUGUCGUUUCUUUUUCCCUUGCAGGGUCUGCCCUGAAGCGUCUCUGCCUAGGCAAAGAACACAGCAGUAGGUCCUCCACCAGCAGCCUGGCCCCAGGCCCUGAGCCAGGCCCCCAGCCCGCCCUGCACGUCCAGGCGCAGGUGAACAACAGCAACAACAAGAAGGGUACCUUCACGGACGACCUGCACAAGCUGGUGGACGAGUGGACGAGCAAGACGGUGGGGGCCGCGCAGCUGAAGCCCACGCUCAACCAGCUGAAGCAGACCCAGAAGCUGCAAGACAUGGAGGCCCAGGCAGGCUGGGCUGCCCCUGGCGAGGCGCGGGCUAUGACCGCACCUCGAGCAGGAGUGGGGAUGCCACG
rnacentral:lncRNA from 1 species